rnacentral:rRNA from 1 species
GACGAACGCUGGCGGCGUGCUUAACACAUGCAAGUCGAACGGAAAGGCCCUGCUUUUGUGGGGUGCUCGAGUGGCGAACGGGUGAGUAACACGUGAGUAACCUGCCCUUGACUUUGGGAUAACUUCAGGAAACUGGGGCUAAUACCGGAUAGGAGCUCCUGCUGCAUGGUGGGGGUUGGAAAGGUUAGGCGGUUGGGGAUGGACACGCGGCUUAUCAGCUUGUUGGUGGGGUAGUGGCUUACCAAGGCUUUGACGGGUAGCCGGCAUGAGAGGGUGACCGGCCACAUUGGGACUGAGAUACGGCCCAGUCUCCUACGGGAGGAAGCAGUGGGGAAUAUUGCACAAUGGGCGGAAGCCUGAUGCAGCAACGCCGCGUGCGGGAUGACGGCCUUCGGGUUGUAAACCGCUUUCGCCUGUGACGAAGCGUGAGUGACGGUAAUGGGUAAAGAAGCACCGGCUAACUACGUG